UGUCAGUUUCAGGGCGGGGUGAAAGUCCCCACUGGCGGUGACGGGAGGCGCGCGGCGCCGGGCCCGAAGUCCGCGACCCGCUAAAAAGGCGGCUGACCCGGUGAGACUCCGGGACCAACGGUUACAGUCCGGAUGGAAGAAACGGAGG
rfam:Olsenella sp. An188 An188_contig_2, whole genome shotgun sequence.